rnacentral:snRNA from 1 species
GUGCUCACUCCGGCAGCACAUAUACUAAAAUUGGAACAAUUCAGAGAAGAUUAACAUGGCGCCUGCACAAGGAUGACACGCGAAUAUGUGAAAAAGAAGUGUU